GGGGAAUAUUGGACAAUGGGCGAAAGCCUGAUCCAGCCAUGCCGCGUGAGUGACGAAGGUCUUCGGAUUGUAAAGCUCUUUUGGCGGGGAAGAUAAUGACGGUACCCGCAGAAUAAGCCCCGGCUAACUUCGUGCCAGCAGCCGCGGUAAUACGAAGGGGGCUAGCGUUGUUCGGAAUCACUGGGCGUAAAGCGCACGUAGGCGGAUUUGCCAGUCAGGGGUGAAAUCCCGGGGCUCAACCUCGGAACUGCCUUUGAUACAGCAAGUCUAGAGUCCGGAAGAGGUGAGUGGAAUUCCUAGUGUAGAGGUGAAAUUCGUAGAUAUUAGGAGGAACACCAGUGGCGAAGGCGGCUCACUGGUCCGGCACUGACGCUGAGGUGCGAAAGCGUGGGGAGCAAAC
rnacentral:rRNA from 1 species